rnacentral:rRNA from 1 species
AUUGAACGCUGGCGGCAGGCCUAACACAUGCAAGUCGGACGGUAGCACAGAGGAGCUUGCUCCUCGGGUGACGAGUGGCGGACGGGUGAGUAAUGUCUGGGGAUCUGCCCGAUAGAGGGGGAUAACCACUGGAAACGGUGGCUAAUACCGCAUAACGUCGCAAGACCAAAGAGGGGGACCUUCGGGCCUCUCACUAUCGGAUGAACCCAGAUGGGAUUAGCUAGUAGGCGGGGUAAUGGCCCACCUAGGCGACGAUCCCUAUCUGGUCUGAGAGGAUGCCCAGCCACACUGGAACUGAGACACGGGCCAGACGCCUACGGGAGGCAGCAGUGGGGAAUAUUGCACAAUGGGCGCAAGCCUGAUGCAGCCAUGCCGCGUGUAUGAAGAAGGCCUUCGGGUUGUAAAGUACUUUCAGCGGGGAGGAAGGCGAUAAGGUUAAUAACCUUGUCGAUUGACGUUACCCGCAGAAGAAGCACCGGCUAACUCCUUGCCAGCAGCCGCCGUAA